ACAACUGGAUCAAUUUUUUAGUUCGUUCUUGGUUUCAAAUACUAGAACAUAAGUGAAACUCCUUUAUGAUUGAAGCCAUAACUGGGGAAGAGGAAGGAAGGGGAAGGAUAGAGACCAUUUCUAUAUCUGCUUGAGCUGGAAUCAUUGAGAUGCUAUUAUAUUGCAAAUUGGUUGCUAUAAGUAGUUUGUUUAUAAUUGUUCUUGUAACUUAUUAGCCCUGUCAACUGGUCGGAACCUUUCGACCAGUUCAAUUAUGGUUCAACUUAAUGUACAUUGUCUCUUCUUCUUUUUAUUGAAUACGCUUAUACAUUA